rnacentral:rRNA from 1 species
CCUACGGGAGGCAGCAGUAGGGAAUAUUGCUCAAUGAGGGAAACCCUGAAGCAGCAACGCAGCGUGCAGGAUGAAGGUUUUAGGAUUGUAAACUCCUUUUGUGAGAGAAGAUAAUUACGGUAUCUAACGAAUAAGCAACGGCUUACACCGUGCCAGCAGCCGCGGUAAUACGGAGGGUGCCAGCGUUACUCGGAAUCACUGGGCGUAAAGAGUGCGCAGGCGGGUUUGUAAGUCAGUUGUGAAAUCCUGUAGCUUAACUACAGAAUUGCCUUUGAUACUAGCAGCCUAGAGUGUGUGAGAGGUAGGCGGAAUUCUUGGUGUAGCGGUAAAAUGCGUAGAUAUCAAGAGGAAUACCCAUUGCGAAGGCGGCCUACUGGAACAUUACUGACGCUGAUGCACGAAAGCGUGGGGAGCAAACAGGAUUAGAUACCCUAGUAGUC